CAGUCGCCGCGGGAAUACGUAGGGUGCAAGCGUUAAUCGGAAUUACUGGGCGUAAAGCGUGCGCAGGCGGUUCGCUAAGACAGAUGUGAAAUCCCCGGGCUUAACCUGGGAACUGCAUUUGUGACUGGCGGGCUAGAGUAUGGCAGAGGGGGGUAGAAUUCCACGUGUAGCAGUGAAAUGCGUAGAGAUGUGGAGGAAUACCGAUGGCGAAGGCAGCCCCCUGGGCCAAUACUGACGCUCAUGCACGAAAGCGUGGGGAGCAAACAGGAUUAGAUACCCCUGUAGUCCCUGUCUCUUAUAA
rnacentral:rRNA from 1 species